rnacentral:rRNA from 1 species
CUGACGAGUGGCGGACGGGUGAGUAAUGUCUGGGAAACUGCCUGAUGGAGGGGGAUAACUACUGGAAACGGUAGCUAAUACCGCAUAACGUCGCAAGACCAAAGAGGGGGACCUUCGGGCCUCUUGCCAUCGGAUGUGCCCAGAUGGGAUUAGCUAGUAGGUGGGGUAACGGCUCACCUAGGCGACGAUCCCUAGCUGGUCUGAGAGGAUGACCAGCCACACUGGAACUGAGACACGGUCCAGACUCCUACGGGAGGCAGCAGUGGGGAAUAUUGCACAAUGGGCGCAAGCCUGAUGCAGCCAUGCCGCGUGUAUGAAGAAGGCCUUCGGGUUGUAAAGUACUUUCAGCGGGGAGGAAGGGAGUAAAGUUAAUACCUUUGCUCAUUGACGUUACCCGCAGAAGAAGCACCGGCUAACUCCGUGCCAGCAGCCGCGGUAAUACGGAGGGUGCAAGCGUUAAUCGGAAUUACUGGGCGUAAAGCGCACGCAGGCGGUUUGUUAAGUCAGAUGUGAAAUCCCCGGGCUCAACCUGGGAACUGCAUCUGAUACUGGCAAGCUUGAGUCUCGUAGAGGGGGGUAGAAUUCCAGGUGUAGCGGUGAAAUGCGUAGAGAUCUGGAGGAAUACCGGUGGCGAAGGCGGCCCCCUGGACGAAGACUGACGCUCAGGUGCGAAAGCGUGGGGAGCAAACAGGAUUAGAUA